UGCCAGCCGCCGCGGUAAUACGGAGGGUGCAAGCGUUAAUCGGAAUCACUGGGCGUAAAGCGCGCGUAGGCGGUCUAGUAAGUCAGAUGUGAAAGCCCCGGGCUUAACCUGGGAACUGCAUUUGAUACUGCUUGACUAGAGUUUGGUAGAGGGAAGUGGAAUUCCGAGUGUAGCGGUGAAAUGCGUAGAGAUUCGGAGGAACACCAAUGGCGAAGGCAACUUCCUGGACCAAAACUGACGCUGAGGUGCGAAAGCGUGGGUAGCAAACAGGAUUAGAUA
rnacentral:rRNA from 1 species